UACGUAGGUGGCAAGCGUUGUCCAGAUUUACUGGGCGUAAAGAGCGCGAAGGCGGCUGAUUAAGUCGAAUGUGAAAGCCCCCGGCUCAACUGGGGAGGGUCAUUCGAUACUGAUCAACUUGAAGGCAGGAGAGGGUAGUGGAAUUCCCGGUGUAGAGGUGAAAUUCGUAGAUAUCGGGAGGAACACCAGUGGCGAAGGCGGCGACCUGGACAGAUAUUGACGCUGAGACGCGAAAGCGUGGGGAGCGAACAGG
rnacentral:rRNA from 1 species